rnacentral:lncRNA from 1 species
AGUGAAGGCCCAGGUCUGACGGAGGUGGCUGCUGCAACUACACGUUAAAGGCUCCGGGUAGCCCAGACUCCAGGACUCAUCCAAGGCCUAGCGGGACAGUACCCACCCUGUCUGCCUGCCAUUUUGUCAGUGAUGAGGCGACUUCCUCCACCUAGGAAGCUCAGACUACUAUUGUUCCAGAACUGGAGAUGCCCAGCUUACCUGCUAUUUCAAGCUUCAAUGGCCUCUGCUAAGUAAAAAGUCUUCCUAGAGAUCUCCCUGCCAGCUCCCCAGCAUGGCACUGCAGUGUCUCAUGCUCCUGACUGGCCUUGUGGUGGGAGGCAUGAGCAAAUCCACAGAAAGCAAGAAGAUUCUUUGGCAGACCUACCUGCUGCUAUACCUGACUUACAGUCUCUGCAGAAUCUGAUCACCAUGUCUGCCUAUGUGCUACCAUGCUUCUUGCCAUUCUGAUAAUGGACUAAACUCUAAAACAGUAAACAAGCCCCAAUUAAAUACUUUCUUUUAUAAG